CCGUGCAUUUGCACGGUAUGCCCGAUGGCCAGUCCAGCUAUGAACAAACAGCAAUAACAGUGUAGUUGUGUUUGUGUGAACAAUAAAGAUUUGAAGAUGAAGAGUUUGAUUCUACUUUCAUUGUGUGAUCAACAACAACCCGUGUGAGUGAAGCACAAACUGACUGUAUCCAAACUUGCUCUCCUGCAGCAGACGGGCUGUGUGGGUUUCUGCUCUGCAGCCUCCACACCGUUAGCUGUGGCUUUCACUUUAAUAACACAACGACAGUUACAAGCAUGAACUCUGCUUCAAGAAUGAUUCCAGGAAGGAUCUGUGUUCUUCACCUGUGAGAGAAACAGCUCAAAUCCUCAACUCACAGCUGACAAAUGAACUUUAAUGGACUCAAAGGAGAGACCAUUGUGACAGGUGAGACCUGGAGACUUGGGACCGCCCCUGGUGGGCGGAGCUGGUCUUCGCUCCUUUCAUAAGCGCAGGUGUGGGCAAUUGGGUAUUCAUUUGCAAACCUGAAGCUGCGAGCGCUUGGUCCGAGUUGGGCACGUUGGUGUUUCUUAACUAUGAAAGUCUGAUACGCGUCCUCCCCUAAACUUCUGUUAGAACGGUGGGAAACAUUGCUCCCGUAAGAACGGUAUAGUGGACUUCAUCGCCACUCACCCACAUUUAUUAGGGUGUGACACGAACUUGUGGACAGAGUACCGAGCUGCUGCUUUGCCAGGUGGAUUUCUGGCUGCGGGCAAAGGACCCGACACAUCAGUGUGUUUUAAUUUGUUUUAAACUGGUGUAAGUCGACAGACUGACUGCUGCGGCUGUCGAUGGUUUUGUUUUUUUGUUUUACUUUUUUCUGUAUCAGUAGGCACCACAGAUAUUGAUUCGCAGGCGGUGAAGGCGCUGCAGGGAAAACAAAUCCUUUUUUUGUCUCCCCGCUCUUGCAUGCACAGCGGGGGGCCCGAGUGAAGACGGCACCGAAGAUUUGCCUUUUUUUUUCUAUAGUGUUUUACCCAUUUGGGAUCAUGUGUGAGUUGCCGUCCAUUUUUAACCUGUGUGCUAUGUUGAUUUGUUUUUAACCUGUUCCCCGCAGCGCUUGUCCUGUCUCACGGGCAAUCGUACAGUUUUAUCAUUUUUAAUAAGGUAACGUUUUUAAUUGUUUUUAGGUGCUGCUGUUACACUGUUUCUUUUAUUUUGUAUUAAAAAUUAAACUCUUUUAAACUGACUGUGCGCCUACGGCUCUGUCCUAUUUUAAAUAGGUACUUA